rnacentral:rRNA from 1 species
GACGAACGCUGGCGGCGUGCUUAACACAUGCAAGUCGAACGGAAAGGCCCUGCUUUUGUGGGGUGCUCGAGUGGCGAACGGGUGAGUAACACGUGAGUAACCUGCCCUUGACUUUGGGAUAACUUCAGGAAACUGGGGCUAAUACCGGAUAGGAGCUCCUGCUGCAUGGUGGGGGUUGGAAAGUUUCGGCGGUUGGGGAUGGACUCGCGGCUUAUCAGCUUGUUGGUGGGGUAGUGGCUUACCAAGGCUUUGACGGGUAGCCGGCCUGAGAGGGUGACCGGCCACAUUGGGACUGAGAUACGGCCCAGACUCCUACGGGAGGCAGCAGUGGGAAAUAUUGCACAAUGGGCGGAAGCCUGAUGCAGCAACGCCACGUGCGGGAUGACGGCCUUCGGGUUGUAAACCGCUUUCGCCUGUGACGAAGCGUGAGUGACGGUAAUGGGUAAAGAAGCACCGGCUAACUACGUG